UUUCUAUUUCUCAGUGGGGCUC
rnacentral:miRNA from 1 species